CGUUACUGAGAUACCAGAGUUUUCGAGAAGCACCGGAGACUACUUGAGCUUCCUGAAGGUAAUCGAUUUGUCGUCGUUCCGAGAAUAAAUGAGUCAUGGGAAAUCGAAGUUUUUCUUAAAAAGUGUUGCUGCUUUAAAAGUUGAGAUUGAUUUCUUUCGAAUAAAAUACACUGAACAUGUGGAAUAAAUUAACUUGUAAGAUGAAAAUAUACGAUGCAGAUUUCUUGUUCAGUUUUCAAGCAGGCAAAAUAUCAUAGUACAAGCUGCAGAAUAGCCGUCGGGACUACACCUGCAUAUGUUGCACUGGUUGUGAAACAUUUUGUUAGCAGGGCAUGGCUCGCCGUGCAUAUAAUUAUCUAGAACAAAUUUUAAAAAUCAGUAGAUAAUUAGUUAUGCUCAAAAAUGUAAACAUGAUAAAAAGUGAUAUAUAUAUAUAUAUAUAUAUAUAUAUAUAUAUAUAUAUAUAUAUAUAACAUUUAUAGCACAGUGUGGCUAAAAUCCGCUGUUAAGUCACACGUAUCGUAAUGUACUAUUAUGGUGUAUCUUUAAAUUUUCGCAAAAGUAUACUGUAAAGAAUUUAAUUGACAUUCUACCAAUACAGAAACAUGAAAUUUUCAA